rnacentral:rRNA from 2 species
CUAAGAAUAUUCCGCAAUGGAGGAAACUCUGACGGAGCGACGCCGCGUGGAUGAUGAAGGCCGGAAGGUUGUAAAAUCCUUUUAAGCAAGAAGAAUAAACUUUACAGGGAAUGGUAGAGUGGUGACGGUAUUGCUUGAAUAAGCAACGGCUAAUUACGUGCCAGCAGCCGCGGUAACACGUAAGUUGCGAGCGUUGUUCGGAAUUAUUGGGCGUAAAGGGCAUGUAGGCGGAUAUGCAAGCUUGGUGUGAAAGGCAGGGGCUUAACUCCUGGACUGCGUUGAGAACUGCAUAACUAGAGUAACUGAGGGGCAACCGGAAUUCCAGGUGUAGGGGUGAAAUCUGUAGAUAUCUGGAAGAACACCAAUGGCGAAGGCAGGUUACCAGCAGAUUACUGACGCUGAGGUGCGAAGGUGCGGGGAGCAAACAGG